rnacentral:rRNA from 1 species
GACGAACGCUGGCGGCGUGCUUAACACAUGCAAGUCGAACGGAAAGGCCCUGCUUGUGUGGGGUGCUCGAGUGGCGAACGGGUGAGUAACACGUGAGUAACCUGCCCUUGACUUUGGGAUAACUUCAGGAAACUGGGGCUAAUACCGGAUAGGAGCUCCUGCUGCAUGGUGGGGGUUGGAAAGUUUCGGCGGUUGGGGAUGGACUCGCGGCUUAUCAGCUUGUUGGUGGGGUAGUGGCUUACCAAGGCUUUGACGGGUAGCCGGCCUGAGAGGGUGACCGGCCACAUUGGGACUGCGAUACGGCGCAGAGUCCUACGGGAGGCAGCAGUGGGGAGUAUUGCACAAUGGGCGGAAGCCUGAGGCAGCAACGCCGCGUGCGGGAUGACGGCCUUCGGGGUGUAAACCGCUUUCGCCUGUGACGAAGCGUGAGUGACGGUAAUGGGUAAAGAAGCACCGGCUAACUACGUG